UCUCCCGUGGUCUAGUGGUUAAGAUUUCGCUCUUAUACCUUUCACUUCUCAGGGUUAAUGGUUAUGCGACGGUCGCGGGUUCAACCCCCGCCGGGAGAA